GGCGGAGCCAAACUGGAUCCAUGAAGGAGGCGGCGUGUCUCACCUUUCUGCCACCCGCCGGUUUUCAUUCCCCACUCCAUCGCCACCAAUCCUGUCACCCCACCUCACCCCAGGCCUCGGCUUAAAAAAAAUCCCCUUUGCAUCCCUCCUGGAUCUCAUUCUCUCUGGAUACAACCUUGACCCUGAAGUUGGCCUGUGCCCUUCCUGUCCAUGCUUUCAUACUUCCGCUGCCUUGACAAUGCUGCAAUGAACAUCUUUGUCCCAUGUUCCCUGGUCCCCCCACACAACAGGUUCUCUCUGGAAUGUGUCUGGAAACACGGGUUCUGGGGUGUGAGGUGCGAGCAUUCUCCAGCCCCGCUGCCCGGGGAUUGCCAAUUGCUCUGGGAGUGAAUGAAGUGAUUUCUACACCCCACCCCCCAGCAAGGGGUGAGUCCCUGUUUCCCCACAUCUUCACCAGUACUUUGUGAUGUCACUCUUUCAAUUUUUUAGCAUGAUAUCUUCUUGCCUGCUCCUCCAGGCGGUGAGAGGUGACUCAUUUCUUGUGAUGUUCUAUCUUUGAAUUGAAUGUCCAAUGGACAUUUUUAAAUGUUUUGCAGUUUCUCCUUUUGCACAGACCAGUGCAGACAGGCUCCUGCCCUGGGUGCCAUUGGUUUCCUCUAAGUGUUCCUAGUGUCAUCAGAAGAAAUGCCCUUGACCAGCCUCCUUGCCGCCUCCCUCCCAACACAGUGUCCCUCCUCGCUGCAUUCUCAAGCUGCCAUUCUAAGCAGAAUCAACAGAGCAGGGCUGGCUUCAUGGGUGAGUGACUGUUGAGGAAUGUCAUCGAGAAAACGUGACCGCUGAUUGACCCAUGAGCUGGGGUCAUGGGGUACUCAGAGGCUCCUCGCCCCCUCUCCCUCCCUUGGAAUGUGGGUUCCUCUUGCCUUUCCUGUUCCCAGAGCCUGCUCCGAGGUCGGAGUCUUGAGACAGUGAUGUGUGUUGAGGACACCUGAAUGGUAUAUAUGACUCAACACAGUUAAAGCCUUUUUAUAAACUUCUAAGAUUUGUCAGGUGGUGCAAGGAUCUGUUUGUCUCGCUGCUGCCUGAGACUACCUCGUGUAUAAGUUCCCUUUGCUUAUUAAAACUGCCGCC